GUCGAGACACCAGCAAACAGAUCUCCCUAACCACCAGACAUAAAUGAUGACGGAGAAAGAAGGAGUGGUGAAGAGGAGCCUUUGGAGAAUGUGUGGAAGUGGCACUUGACUCACUUCAUGUCCACGGUGGUAAGUCUGAAGGUCGCACCCUUCAACCAGAGAAUCAUGAAGAUCCUCUGACUGAACGGACAGUUUCCCACACCUGCACAAUCAUCACUCGCCUGAUGCACACAUACGCACACACAUACCCAAACACACACACACACACACACACACACACACACACACACACACACACACACACACACACACACACACACACACACACACACACACACACACACACACACACACACACACACACACAGACACACUCACACAGACAGACAGACAGACAGACAGACAGACAGACAGACAGACAGACAGACAGACAGACAGACAGACAGACAGACAGACAGACAGACAGACAGACAGACAGACAGACAGACAGACAGACAGAGGUGUACAAAUGUGUAAGAAUGAUUAGCAGUGGGGGCUACAACCUAAGAUCUAUGUCUGUGUGUGCUCCUUGGUUUUGUUUCCCAAGUUCAGUGAAUCCAACUUUCCGGUCUAAUUUGGUUUCCCUUCUCGUUUAUUACCUGGAGUUAAUUCAUUAAUCGGUGGCUGUUUGUGUCUUUAAGCUAAUUGCUCAUGCAGGUGGGUACAUAAAGCCCAGGAAAAGGAGGCCUGAUUGCCAGCAAUGUCCUGUGUGUAUCAGUUUAGUUUCUAUUCUUUCUGGAGUUAGCUCAAUGUAUUUUGCAUUAAGUGUACUUGUGUACUGUGCAUUUCAGUUCUCGGAAGUUGAAGGGGAAGUAAACAUCGACCCUUCAGAUGAUCUGCAUAUGGGUGUUGUUUUCCCUCCACAACUUCCUUGUAACUAGUCACUAGGUAGCACACUACUAUGCAUGGCUGAUGUUUGACCAUGCGCUGCACUCUGUUUUGCGUAAAAUAAAACAUCUAUAAACUCGGACAAAGCCAUUAUUCCUGGUCUAAACAAACCGACUGGCCGAAAGAUAGACUAAUAGACAGAUGAAUAUUUAUCUUAAUACAUAGCAUUUCACCCAAUGUAUUAACAAGACCUAUUUACAUAAUCUGUCAUCUUUGAAUCUCCUGAAAGGUUUUUGAGACAUUGGCAUGUAAGGUAUUUUGUAGAAGGAAACGCAGGUAAAACUGGCCAGUCGUCUUGUUCCACCCUGGUUACGGCUGUGUUUCCGCCGUUUAAAACAUACACGAGUGGUUGAUUAUCCCUCUUCCUCUCAAUUAAAAUACAUGUGUUUUAUAAUGAUGCUAUUGAACUGCCACUGAAUACAUCUAAAGAAAAGUCGACCAAAUAAUAAUGCAACAAAUAUUCUGCUACCAUACUGCUAGAGAUACAACUGACAUUGACAUUUCAAUGACAUUUUUUAGCUACGGUAUAUCAUGCUGCCAAAGAACAAGCACAAAAUAAAACCAUAGAAACUUCUCACAUGA